rnacentral:rRNA from 1 species
UGGUGCCUACGGGGGGCAGCAGUGGGGAAUAUUGCACAAUGGGGGGAACCCUGAUGCAGCAAUGCCGCGUGGGUGAAGAAGUACUCCGGUAUGUAAAGCCCUGUCAGCAGGGAAGAAAAUGACGGUGCCUGACUAAGAAGCCCCGGCUAACUACGUGCCAGCAGCCGCGGUAAUACGUAGGGGGCGAGCGUUAUCCGGAUUUACUGGGUGUAAAGGGAGCGCAGGCGGCGUGGCAAGUCAGAUGUGAAAACCCGGGGCCCAACCCCGGGACUGCAUUUGAAACUGCCCUGCUGGGGUGCCGGAGG